rnacentral:rRNA from 1 species
GACGAACGCUGGCGGCGUGCCUAAUACAUGCAAGUAGAACGCUGAAGGAGGAGCUUGCUCUUCUGGAUGAGUUGCGAACGGGUGAGUAACGCGUAGGUAACCUGCCUGGUAGCGGGGGAUAACUAUUGGAAACGAUAGCUAAUACCGCAUAACAGUAGAUGUUGCAUGACAUUUGCUUAAAAGGUGCAAUUGCACCACUACCAGAUGGACCUGCGUUGUAUUAGCUAGUUGGUGGGGUAACGGCUCACCAAGGCGACGAUACAUAGCCAACCUGAGAGGGUGAUCGGCCACACUGGGACUGAGACACGGCCCAGACUCCUACGGGAGGCAGCAGUAGGGAAUCUUCGGCAAUGGACGGAAGUCUGACCGAGCAACGCCGCGUGAGUGAAGAAGGUUUUCGGAUCGUAAAGCUCUGUUGUAAGAGAAGAACGAGUGUGAGAGUGGAAAGUUCACACUGUGACGGUAUCUUACCAGAAAGGGACGGCUAACUACGUG